CCUCCUUUUCUCUCUGUACCACCCAAGAGGGGAGAAGAAACCGAUAGGAGAAAAUUAAAAGAAUCUCCACCCUCCAAGAAGUCCAUUUCCAAUCCCCCUUUCUUCCUGAUGGCCCAGCUGGGUCAGGAGUAAUGUGAGGGAAGGAAAACCAAGACCAAAACCAAAAAAGAGAAGGGAUGAAAGAUAAGAGUGGCUUCAGGCGUGUAUCAAGCCAACCAAAUCCCUCCUCUCUCUCUCUCUCUCUCCACCAANNNNNNNNNNNNNNNNNNNNUCUCUCUCUCUCCACCCAAAACAAAACUACUGUCCCCAACUUUCCAAAUUGUCCCUCUGCAGGCCAGGAAACUCUCCACCUCCCUUCCAUCAAGUGGGAAGACUCGUAGCCAGCUCCUGUUCCCAUUUUAUAUGGGGCCUUUGCUUCCUUUUGGUCACGAUGCAAGAAACUUCCCUCUCUCUCUGUCUCUCAAUCUCUUUGCU
rnacentral:lncRNA from 1 species